rnacentral:rRNA from 1 species
UGCUAUACAUGCAAGUCGAGCGAACAGAUAAGGAGCUUGCUCCUUUGAAGUUAGCGGCGGACGGGUGAGUAACACGUGGGUAACCUACCUAUAAGACUGGGAUAACUUCGGGAAACCGGAGCUAAUACCGGAUAACAUUUAGAACCGCAUGGUUCUAAAGUGAAAGAUGGUUUUGCUAUCACUUAUAGAUGGACCCGCGCCGUAUUAGCUAGUUGGUAAGGUAACGGCUUACCAAGGCGACGAUACGUAGCCGACCUGAGAGGGUGAUCGGCCACACUGGAACUGAGACACGGUCCAGACUCCUACGGGAGGCAGCAGUAGGGAAUCUUCCGCAAUGGGCGAAAGCCUGACGGAGCAACGCCGCGUGAGUGAUGAAGGGUUUCGGCUCGUAAAACUCUGUUAUUAGGGAAGAACAAAUGUGUAAGUAACUGUGCACAUCUUGACGGUACCUAAUCAGAAAGCCACGGCUAACUACGUGCCAGCAGCCGCGGUAAUACGUAGGUGGCAAGCGUUAUCCGGAAUUAUUGGGCGUAAAGCGCGCGUAGGCGGUUUCUUAAGUCUGAUGUGAAAGCCCACGGCUCAACCGUGGAGGGUCAUUGGAAACUGGGAAACUUGAGUGCAGAAGAGGAAAGUGGAAUUCCAUGUGUAGCGGUGAAAUGCGCAGAGAUAUGGAGGAACACCAGUGGCGAAGGCGACUUUCUGGUCUGUAACUGACGCUGAUGUGCGAAAGCGUGGGGAUCAAACAGGAUUAGAUACCCUGGUAGUCCACGCCGUAAACGAUGAGUGCUAAGUGUUAGGGG